AUGUACCCCGCGCGUACACGCCGGUUCCUCCGCGCCGUCCACACCCACCUGACGACUGUUCGCUACGUUUUGUUGGCC
rnacentral:sRNA from 1 species